UACGAAGGGGCUAGCGUUGCUCGGAAUCACUGGGCGUAAAGGGUGCGUAGGCGGGUCUUUAAGUCAGGGGUGAAAUCCUGGAGCUCAACUCCAGAACUGCCUUUGAUACUGAGGAUCUUGAGUUCGGGAGAGGUGAGUGGAACUGCGAGUGUAGAGGUGAAAUUCGUAGAUAUUCGCAAGAACACCAGUGGCGAAGGCGGCUCACUGGACACGUAUUGACGCUGAGGUGCGAAAGCGUGGGGAGCAAACAGGG
rnacentral:rRNA from 1 species